UACGUAGGGUCCAAGCGUUGUCCGGAUUUAUUGGGCGUAAAGAGCUCGUAGGCGGUCUGUCGCGUCUGCUGUGAAAACUCAGGGCUUAACCCUGAGCUUGCAGUGGGUACGGGCAGACUAGAGUGCGGUAGGGGAGACUGGAAUUCCUGGUGUAGCGGUGAAAUGCGCAGAUAUCAGGAGGAACACCGGUGGCGAAGGCGGGUCUCUGGGCCGUAACUGACGCUGAGGAGCGAAAGCAUGGGGAGCGAACAGG
rnacentral:rRNA from 1 species